rnacentral:misc_RNA from 1 species
ACUGUUUAUUAUAAGCCAAGGACAAGCCCAGCUGAGUUCAUUGUUCCAGUUGAUCGAUACAUGGAGUCUGUCAAGAACAACUAUUCCAUUGGAAUGAGGUUUAAAAUGAGAUUUGAAGGAGAAGAAGCUCCUGAGCAAAGAUUUACUGGUACAAUUGUUGGAAUUGAAGAUGCUGAUCCCAAAAGGUGGCGAGAAUCCAAAUGGAGAUGCCU